GUCUGUGCUUACAACUCUGAGGUAGGCUUAUAACCUUAUAAAUUCUUCUGUACUCUCCAUAUUGUCUGUGCUUACAACUCUGAGGUAGGCUUAUAACCUUAUAAAUGUAUCUGUCACCCUUAAGGUAUUUACAGUGCCUCUGGCAGCGAUACCCUUGUUGGUCUUCAUAAAUCUUCAUAGGUCAUCUAUCAAACCAUUGUUGACUGUUCCAUCGCUAAUGACACCAUAAAUGUCCUCAUCGUAUGUCGAUGUGAACCAAAGUCCAGUUUUAAAGAGACACCGUCACUUUGCACGCCUGCGGCCUCUCAUGGCCAGAGUGAGCAUCAGAGAGCAUUGGCUAUUUGGCUCUUUGAUAGGAUGAAGGGCGUCAAACCAACAUCAACAGCAAGGUGCCAAGUAUAUCUUACAAGUAUAUCUUUUACAUUUGAGCAUUUUUACAUUUUAUUUGAGCCUCACAAACUGUCUGUCAAUAUCUAAAAUUCCCAGCAGAUUAAUUCCAUCAAUUCUGAAUGUAUCCAAGGAAACUGGAAGUAUAUCCUAGUGGUCCCAGAUAAACCAUUCCAAGAUAGAAGAAGCUAAGGUUAACGCACUGCCUUUGUGCUUUUUUCCAGAGUUUGUUGACUGUUGCUAAACUAAUACAAUUGUAUAUAAGAACAGAUGACGACAAUGGUGAAUUGUUGCUUAUUGUAUUAAAAUUGUAAUUAUAUUUUAACAUUUUAUUUGGGCUACAUAUUUAGCUGUAGCCUGUAAGAACCAACGUUAAAACAGAUGUUCCCCUGAAAUAAUCCCCAGACACCCAAGAGAAUUCAAAAUGACGAUAUAUAAAAACUAAUAUAUACAUGCAUUGACAUGAAACAUCCUGUCAAACUAUGGCCUUCGAGCUCUGUAUUUGCGUAUUAUUUAAAUUAUAUAUUAAAUUAUAUUUUGAAAAUGUAUGGCAUUGAAGUCAGAUGUUUCUUCAAGGGAGGCAUUGAUAGCAGGAAAUCAUAGAACUCUUUGAAAUGCCCAAUAGAGCAAAGGUCAUCAAACCUACUAUUAAAACAUUAAUCAACCCUCCUCAAAUCUUUCCAGUGUACUUCAGCAGACCAAAGAUACCGCCACC
ensembl:lncRNA